rnacentral:rRNA from 1 species
UACGGGGGGGGGCAAGCGUUGUUCGGAAUUACUGGGCGUAAAGGGCUCGUAGGCGGCCAACUAAGUCGGAUGUGAAAUCCCCAGGCUCAACUUGGGAACUGCAUCCGAUACUGGAUGGCUUGAAUCCGGGAGGAGGGAUGCAGAAUUCCAGGUGUAGCGGUGAAAUGCGCAGAUAUCAGGAGGAACACCAAUGGCGAAGGCGGCGUCCUGGACCAACACUGACACUGAGGAGCGAAAGCCAGGGGAGCAAACGGG